rnacentral:lncRNA from 1 species
AGCCUUAGGACAAUGCAGGGUCCAGUAAGGAAAGCUUGGAUUCACAGCAAAAACACUGUGUCUGCCUAGGUUUAGGCUGUUUUCUGGGAUGGACACUACCUGAAAUUCAACAUGUAUGCUUAAUAACCAUGGCAGUUCUGAAGGGAGCAGAAUCCAUUUCAGGGGGAAGGAUUUAAAACCAGAAAAGGAAUGGUGAAAAUAGAGCAAGACUAAUGUCAAUGUAGCUUUCUAUAAACAUGGAACACAAAAGAUCUACUACCACAACCAUGAAGAAAAACAAGUAAACAGGUACUCUGUUCCUGAUAACACCAGAGCCCAAACAAGGAGAUAUGAAUCUCAGGCAUUUCUUGAUCCUGAAGAAGUACAAUCGCAAAGAAUGUAGGCUUGAACCAAUCUCUCACCCUGAAAAAAACCCAGGUCCAUAAAAAAGAGAUGUAGGCCAGGGCUAGUUCCUCACCUUCAAGCACCCAGGGCCCAAAUGAAGAGGAAUGUGUGCCUAGGCCAUUCCCUGAUCCUGAAAAGGCUCUGGCCCAAAGAAGAAGAAAUGUGGGCCUGAGCCAAUCCCUGACCCUGAAUAAGCCUGGCCCUGAGCAAGAUGUAAUAUAUGUCCAGGUCUAUUCCUAAAUCUGAAGAGGCCUAGGCCCAAAGAAGAAGAAAUAUGGUCCUGGGCCAAUCCCUGACCCUGAAGAGGCCUGGGUCUAAAGCAAGAUGUGAUUCAUGAUAUGGGCUUUGGCCUAUUCCUCACUCUGAAAAGGCCCAGGACCACAAAAUAAGAAAGGUAGGCCUGGGCCAAUCUUGGAUCCUGAAAGGUAUGGACCCAAAAAAGAGGAUACAUGGGCCUGGGCCAAUCCAUCACGCUGAAUAAUCCUUAUCCCCAAGCAAGAAGUAAUGUGAUAAGGACAUUGGAAAAAGGGAGUCUAGCUCUUGCUCCUUCGCCUGCUUGCUGCGUGAGACUGAGUAACUGCUAGAU